AGAGAGAAGCAGAAACCCACAUUUUCAUAAAUAGCCCAGCUGUGUCAAAAUGUGCUAGAAACCCACCUUAAACGUGAGUGUUGCUUUUUACAAUGUAAACUGAAAGUUUUAGUGCCUUUCUUUUUCCUCUCCUGAUAUGGACCUGCAAUGGCAGAAAGAGUGUGGUUUUGAGAAUGCAAGCAAAUCUCCUUUUUGAUGACACCGACUUUGUCAGUUUUCUCAUUGGAAAAUGGGGAAAGCAGGACAACCUGAAAAAGCUGAAGCUAAAGCUGGCCUUUACAAGCAGUGGCUGAGAGCUGUCCCUGAAAGAACUGAUUUCCACACGUUCAGAAACUGAUGCCAAGAAGAGGUUCACACUAUACCCACGAUUUGGAACGUCAGCUGGGAGCUUCCCACACCAGCAUCUCAUUUCAUUUUCAAGAGUGUCAUUGAGUUCCCGCGUGCCCACCACAGCACCGAUUCCUCUAGCCCUUUCCAGACAAGCUCUUCAGCACUCUUCAGUGUCUUCCCACCAUCAACAGUGCUGUUGGGAGCUCCCCUAGUGGACUGUUGCCCAUAUAAAGCCCUUCAAGGCGCUGUUAUAUCAAAGGAUUUGUGUGGACAAGCUUCAGGGAUGCAUCUGGGACAAGGCUUUUGCUGGACCUCUCGGUCCUGGGGCCUAGAGUCAGUCACGACAAAGAAGAAAGCCUGCAACAAUUGGGAAAGUCUUUGCAGGGGAGUAAGAAGGGACAGUGCUAGCCUUCCCACUGCAUUGCAAGCUCUCCUCUACAUGGGACCAGAUCAGGGCCAGGCUGUCUUCAUUGUGACGGGUGGAUUUCAGAAUUUGUAGAAUUGUGGACCUGGGAAUCUCAGGAGAGAAGCAGGUGCCAAAGGCAUUUCUAUCAUUGCAAAGCUGAUCACGUCUAUAAUUUUCCACAGCAUCUCUCUAUGAGAUCAGGUACAAGGAGAUUUCACAGUCUGGGAGGAACCUGCCGGAAAUGCAGCCCCGUGGCUUCCUGUUCUCUUCAUGGGAAGGCAUUGUCAUCAUAGCUUCCAUUUUUGCCUCUGCUCUUGUUAUUAUAUAUUCAAAGUAUUAUACCA
rnacentral:lncRNA from 1 species